rnacentral:rRNA from 1 species
AUUGAACGCUGGCGGCAGGCCUAACACAUGCAAGUCGAACGAGUGGCGGACGGGUGAGUAAUGUCUGGGAAACUGCCAGAUGGAGGGGGAUAACUACUGGAAACGGUAGCUAAUACCGCAUACCAUCGGAUGUGCCCAGAUGGGAUUAGCUAGUAGGUGGGGUAACGGCUCACCUAGGCGACGAUCCCUAGCUGGUCUGAGAGGAUGACCAGCCACGCUGGAACGGGGACACGGUCCAGACUCCUACGGUAGGAAGCAUGGGGAAAUAUUGCACAAUGGGCGCAAGCCUGAUGCAGCCAUGCGGCGUGGAUGAAGAAGGCCUUCGGGUUGUAAAGUACUUUCAGCGAGGAGGCGUUACUCGCAGAAGAAGCACCGGCUAACUCCGUGCCAGCAGCCGCGGUAAUUC